ensembl:lncRNA
GGAGGGUGGAGUCCUCCAGAGGAGGCUUCGCCUUCUCCCCUCCCUGCAGCCCUUAGCCAGGGCCCCACCCGGGCAGCUCGUCAGCUGGGCUACCGGAGAAGGGGGGAGGGGAGCGGCGAGGGGAGGGGGAGCGGUCCUGACACAUGGGGUGCCUGCAUACCUCUCAGCUGUUGUUCAUUAGAGCCGGCUUAAUUUAACCCUCGUGCUGGCCCCCUUUGGCUCCUGUGGUAGGAUAGAGAGCCCAGCCCCUUAUUGGGCCAAGACCCUCCCUGUUCGCAGCCCGGCCCAGCCCAGGGCAGGGCAGACCGACGGCGGAAGGAUGGACAGUCGGAAGGAGGGCCGAAGCUUGCCCAGGGUGCUUUUGGGGGGACUUGCUGGCCAGAUUCUCCCUCCACACGGGAAGGAGGAAAAGCAGACCAUCCCCCGGGGCUUCGGGGGGAGAACAAGACCUUCCCAAAUCUCUUUCCUGGGAUCUCCCUUCAUCCUGGGCAGAUGGGGUUGUCUCAGGCCCAAGCCCGAGAUCCUUCCACCUUUCCAAGCAUCGCUCCCCUCUGGAGCUCACGUAAGAGGAGUGAAGCUCAGCCAGGUGAAGUCCCUCCCGCCCAGGGCUCCGUCUCCUAGGUGUGCAGUAGCAAAGGCAGGGGCUGAAUGAGCCCAGUCCAGCCCGCCGGCCUCCUCCAGCACCGGGCAGCCUCCCUGGGAGGCUAGCUCCCAUUUCCUCAUAACACGCCCGAGAGGGGCGGGGGCGGUACAGGUAGCGUCCUCCGGACUGGGCGGAGGAGGGAACUGAGGUUUAGGGAGGGGCCGCCUCGGCAGGAAUCGCCAAGCUAGGAAGUGUCCAAGGUAGGAGCGGCAGUUUCCAGGUGUAGCAGUCGGCCCAGCAGGCCCGAUCUAGGCUCACGGGCUGCCUUGGGUCCGAGCGAUGCCCCCUUUCCUCCGCAGCCUAGCUCAGGCCUGCGCCCGGGCUCCCUCCAUGGGACCCGCGACUUCCCGCCUCCUCGGAGCCCUAGACCAGGAGAAGGAGGGGAAGGAGGAGUAGGAGGAGGACUAGGACAAGGAGGAGGACGAGGAGGAGGAGGAGGGACCCUCAGGGUUGCGCGGCCGCCCCCACCGGGUCGGACCCUUGUGGCUUGAGCCCCGCCACCGCCGCCGGUGGGCUAUCCGUGUGGAUAGCCAUUUCGGGAAAAUGGCUUGGGUGGGGGGCGCUCCGAGCUGCACCCACCCCCCGAGGCCAGGGUGGCUUUCCCAAGGCUUUGUCGGCUCCUUCUCUCCUCCGUCUCUGUCGUGGUCUCCACUCGGGGAACAAGUCGUGAUCUCGCUCCCUCUCCUCCUCUCUCUCCCCCCAUCCUCUCUGUCUCUCUCGCUCCCUUCUUCUCUGUCUCGUUCCCUUCCCUCUCUCUCCCUCCUUCUCUCCCCGUCCUGGCUGGGCUCGCUCGCGGUUGCCAUGGCGAGCUAGGCGCGCCGAACCCUCGCACCCAGCUGUCAGGUCGCUCGCUCGACGCCCCCCUCCCACCGAGCCCCGCCCCGCCCCCACCCAGGCAUCCCCGGCUCUGGCCUCCGCCC